CAGGGAUUGCCUCAGUAACGGCGAGUGAAGCGGCAACAGCUCAAAUUUGAAAUNUGACCCCCUUGGGGCCCGAGUUGUAAUUUGUAGAGGGUGUUUCGGGCGCGGCGCCGGUCUAAGUUCCUUGGAACAGGACGUCACAGAGGGUGAGAAUCCCGUACGUGACCGGCGAUCAAGCCCAUGUGAAGCCCCUUCGACGAGUCGAGUUGUUUGGGAAUGCAGCUCAAAAUGGGUGGUAAAUUUCAUCUAAAGCUAAAUAUUGGCCAGAGACCGAUAGCGGACAAGUAGAGUGAUCGAAAGAUGAAAAGCACUUUGGAAAGAGAGUCAAACAGUACGUGAAAUUGUUGAAAGGGAAGCGCUUGCAAUCAGACCGGUCCGGGGGCGAUCAGCCGCUGCUCGUCAGCGGUGCACUCGCCCUCGAUCCGGCCAGCAUCGGUUUGGGCGGCGGGAGAAAAGUCCCGGGAAUGUAGCUUCCUUCGGGGAGUCUUAUAGCCCGGGUCGGCAUGCCGCCCGCCUGGACCGAGGACCGCGCUUCGGCUAGGAUGCUGGCGUAAUGGUUGCAAGCGACCCGUCUUGAAACACGGACCAAGGAGUCUAACAUCUAUGCGAGUGUUUGGGUGUCAAACCCGGGCGCGGAAUGAAAGUGAACGGAGGUGGGAACCCGUCAGACGGCGCACCAUCGACCGAUCCAGAUGUCUUCGGAUGGAUUUGAGUACGAGCAUAGCUGUUGGGACCCGAAAGAUGGUGAACUAUGCCCGGAUAGGGUGAAGCCAGAGGAAACUCUGGUGGAGGCUCGCAGCGGUUCUGACGUGCAAAUCGAUCGUCAAAUCUAGGCAUAGGGGCGAAAGACCAAUCG
rnacentral:rRNA from 1 species